AGUUCGGAUUGUAGUCUGCAACUCGACUACAUGAAGCUGGAAUCGCUAGUAAUCGCGAAUCAGAAUGUCGCGGUGAAUACGUUCCCGGGUCUUGUACACACCGCCCGUCACACCAUGGGAGUCAGUAACGCCCGAAGCCGGUGACCCAACCGAUAAGGAGGGAGCCGUCGAAGGUGGGACCGAUAACUGGGGUGAAGUCGUAACAAGGUAGC
rnacentral:rRNA from 1 species